AGAACAGGCAAAUGUGAGUUGCAGAUGCCAGGGCCUACAGGCCCCAGCGAGUAGGAGGGGCGCGGUGGUGUGCGCAGAAGGGAUUGGGCGUGAGCCUGCCUGGAGCCGCCAUCGGUGCAGAUCUUGGUGGUAGUAGCAAAUACUCGAGCGAUAUCCUGGAGAUCUGAUGUGGAGAAGGGUUCCAUGUGAACAGCUUUUGCACAUGGGUCAGUCUGUCCUAAGCUGCAGGAGAAAUCCGGGUUCUGGCGAAAUCGGUGCUCCCGAGAUACAAAAUUAAAUUUUGAUAAUGGGUGUCACUGCCAAACCUAAGCAAGAGGGAAUCCGGUACUGAUUCCGGAACCUGGUCACGGAUAACCUCUCUUCGGAGAGGGUCGUUGGGGUCCUCGUGAUCUACACCGUAAGGUAGCUAAACUCGGGGAAGUCGGCCGCUGUCCCGGGCAGAGUUUUCUGUUCUGUAUAAGGGCCCGGAUCCCUGGAAUCGCCUCGCGCGGAGAGAGGGAACUGGUUUCA
rnacentral:rRNA from 1 species